rnacentral:rRNA from 1 species
GAUGAACGCUGGCGGCGUGCCUAAUACAUGCAAGUCGAGCGAACAGACGAGGAGCUUGCUCCUCUGACGUUAGCGGCGGACGGGUGAGUAACACGUGGAUAACCUACCUAUAAGACUGGGAUAACUUCGGGAAACCGGAGCUAAUACCGGAUAAUAUAUUGAACCGCAUGGUUCAAUAGUGAAAGACGGUUUUGCUGUCACUUACAGAUGGAUCCGCGCCGCAUUAGCUAGUUGGUAAGGUAACGGCUUUCCAAGGCAACGAUGCGUAGCCGACCUGAGAGGGUGAUCGGCCACACUGGAACUGAGACACGGUCCAGACUCCUACGGGAGGCAGCAGUAGGGAAUCUUCCGCAAUGGGCGAAAGCCUGACGGAGCAACGCCGCGUGAGUGAUGAAGGUCUUCGGAUCGUAAAACUCUGUUAUUAGGGAAGAACAAAUGUGUAAGUAACUAUGCACGUCUUGACGGUACCUAAUCAGAAAGCCACGGCUAACUACGUG